CCGUUGGGGGUCAAACUCCAAUCGGGAUAGACACCCUUGCCUUUGAGUACCUUUUCGUUUCCUCGGCGGGCUCGCCCGCCGGUGGACAGCCAAAAAAACCCCUUGUAAUAGCAGUAUCUUCUGAAUAAAAAGCAAAUAGUCA
rnacentral:misc_RNA from 1 species